rnacentral:rRNA from 1 species
UCCUACGGGAGGCAGCAGUGGGGAAUAUUGGACAAUGGGGGGAACCCUGAUCCAGCCAUGCCGCGUGUGUGAAGAAGGCCUUAUGGUUGUAAAGCACUUUAAGCGAGGAGGAGGCGCUCUAGGCUAAUACCCUAGAAGCGUGGACGUUACUCGCAGAAUAAGCACCGGCUAACUCUGUGCCAGCAGCCGCGGUCAUACAGAGGGUGCGAGCGUUAAUCGGAUUUACUGGGCGUAAAGCGUGCGUAGGCGGCCAUUUAAGUCAAAUGUGAAAUCCCCGAGCUUAACUUGGGAAUUGCAUUCGAUACUGGAUGGCUAGAGUAUGGGAGAGGAUGGUAGAAUUCCAGGUGUAGCGGUGAAAUGCGUAGAGAUCUGGAGGAAUACCGAUGGCGAAGGCAGCCAUCUGGCCUAAUACUGACGCUGAGGUACGAAAGCAUGGGGAGCAAACAGGAUUACAUACCCUGGUAGUCCAUGCCGUAAACGAUGUCUACUAACCGUUGGGGUCUUUGAGACUUUAGUGGCGCAGCUAACGCGAUAAGUAGAACGGCUGCGGAAUAGGGUCGCAAGACUGAACUCAGAUGAACUGACGGACGGGCGAU